rnacentral:piRNA from 1 species
UCUCUUUCUCGAAAAACUUUC